AUGAUGGACUAUAGGACAGGACUGCUGCUUUUAACUAUCUGCUGGGCAGGUGUUGAUGGUCAGACUCUGACAGAAUCUGAACCAGCAGUUAAAAAGCCUGGAGAAUCCCACAAACUGACCUGUACAACAUCUGGAUUGUCAUUCAGUAGCUACUACAUGGCCUGGGUCAGACAGGCUCCUGGAAAAGGGCUGGAGUGGAUUGCAACUAUCAGUAGCAGUGGUAGUGGCAAAUACUACUCUCAGUCAGUUCAAUGCCGGUUCACCAUCUCCAGAGACAACAGCAGAGAGCAGGUGUAUCUGCAGAUGAACAGUCUGAAGACUGAAGAUUCUGCUGUUUAUUAUUGUGCUCGAGAGUAUCUGAGCAGCUCUCUAGAGGCUCUGAAUGUCUGUGGCUUCAAACAUGUGCAACACUGAUACAACAAAAAAGUAUUUUAUGUAAAACUCCAA